rnacentral:rRNA from 1 species
AUGAACGCUGGCGGCGUGCCUAAUACAUGCCAGUCGAGCGAACAGACGAGGAGCUUGCUCCUCUGACGUUAGCGGCGGACGGGUGAGUAACACGUGGAUAACCUACCUAUAAGACUGGGAUAACUUCGGGAAACCGGAGCUAAUACCGGAUAAUAUAUUGAACCGCAUGGUUCAAUAGUGAAAGGCGGUUUUGCUGUCACUUAUAGAUGGAUCCGCGCCGCAUUAGCUAGUUGGUAAGGUAACGGCUUACCAAGGCAACGAUGCGUAGCCGACCUGAGAGGGUGAUCGGCCACACUGGAACUGAGACACGGUCCAGACUCCUACGGGAGGCAGCAGUAGGGAAUCUUCCGCAAUGGGCGAAAGCCUGACGGAGCAACGCCGCGUGAGUGAUGAAGGUCUUCGGAUCGUAAAACUCUGUUAUUAGGGAAGAACAAAUGUGUAAGUAACUAUGCACGUCUUGACGGUACCUAAUCAGAAAGCCACGGCUAACUACGUG